rnacentral:sRNA from 1 species
CUGAAAUAAGUUUAAUUAAAACACUGAAGGUGAU